UUUAACCUAUUACUUGCCACUUGGCAAUUGACUAAUCCAUUUUUGUUUCUAAUGACCGCCAAAACCAAGAAUCCUCACUUUUCUUUUAUUUUCCUUUUUCUUUCUCUAACCUAAUUAAUUCACCACCGUUUCACAAAGAAAUCUCUUCAUCUUCACUCCAAUCAUCUUCCCAAAAUACAUUUGGUUUCCUUACAUAAGAAUGAAAAUCGCUGGAUCUACAUAUAAUCAUUGGAUUCGAUUGUUCUGCUUCUUCAUCGACGCAUACUUUUUCUUUUAUCGGCGAUUCAUAGAAGAUUCUGAAAUCGAUAUACAAAUCCGUAUUUACUAUGGGUGAUAGUUCAUCAAGUUACAGAGCACCCUGGUUCUGUAGGGAAAUGAGUCGAGCAGACCAAGUUAUUAUGGCCAUACCAGAUGACGCUGCGUCUAAACUAUGGGGUGUUGACAAAGGCCCUACUAAUGUUACGAUACACACUGAAGAUGGCAGUGUCUUUAAUGUUUUUUUAAGCGCUUCUAAAGGGAAGAUAUUUUUUUUUUUAAUGGUUGGUCCAAUGUUGUAUACACUUGGGACUA